GCUGCUGGUAGGCCACGGGCUGUGCGGUGCCGGUGGCGACGGCGUGGCGGGUGCCGACCAGCUCGGCGGUCCAGGCCGCCUGGUCGUC
rnacentral:tRNA from 1 species